GUGUCGCGGCGCACGUAGGUCCCCCGACCUGACAGGUGCGCGGCCCGGGCCGGCUGGGCUCUCAGAGCCGAGAGGUGGGGCCCCGACCUGGCCGUGGGGCUGGGCCCGCUCCGUCGCCCCGACCCCGCGUGGUCCGCCAACUCCCUCCUGCGCGCGGAGAGGACGGGCAUUGUUCUCGGGGCCCCGGAGAGCGCGAGAGCGGCCUGAGGUCUGUGUGCCGGAGCUCGGGAAGGCGGACGCGACUCCGCUUGCGCGAAACGAGCGAACGACACAUUAUUAUCUUGCCUGGAGGCCAUCCUGCCUGAGAUUCUACCCUUAGAGCUUCAUUCUUUUGUGACUUUCACACCUUUCAGAAACUUGGAGAAAGAUCUGCCCCCAGGUGAGGUUUGGGUAACUCCUCCACUCCCAUCCCCACCUCAGAGGAGGCUUGCUCCACCUCCACUGCCCCUCAGGCCCAAGCUCCUGUCUGGGUCCUCAGCCUCUGUGGAGUUGAGGUCUGUAGCAUAUCUCAAGGGCACUGGGGAGGUGCCGCUGCCCUGCAUCCUCCCAAACCCCACAGCUCCUCUCACCCCUUUUGGUCUCCCUUUUGCCCCCCACCUCCACUUCCACCAAGCUUAGGGCUCAGUUCACUGCCCGCCAGGCCCAGCUGCUCUGAUGCCCUCCUUGUUCUAUUGUCCUUACUGUCUCCUCUGUCUGCCUCAUCUGACUUUGCCUUCUCUGGAGGCAGUUAAUUCACCUCUGAGCCUUGGCCCCAGGGUCACCUCCCUGGAAAGCCUUCCUGGGGCUGCCCUGGCCUGCCCCCCUGCUCAGGACAAUCUGGCCUGCAUGUGCACUCCAUUCUGUGGACCAUGAGCCCCUCCCGGACCAAGCUGGGCACAGCUCAGCUUCUCACUAAGGGCAGGGGGCUGCCAUGGAAAGCCUGUCACUUCUAACUGGCAAGACAGAGCACCCAGGUAGAGUGGCAUUGUGGGAGCUGUACCCAGUAUGGGAGGUGGGGGCAGCGGCCAGUCCUCAUGGUCUGUCUUAGAGAAGCCUUGUGUGGCAGUGACAUUUUGGAGGGGAGACAAUUUUGGAGGGGGCUGCAGGAGCCUGGGCCUGGAGUAAGGGGAGAGGAGAGUCAAGCUGUCCAGUGGGGAGAAGGCCUGGUGGGCGAUGGUGCCAUCCUGAGUGGAGAAGGCCUGGGAAUGUGAGGAGUGGGGAGGUCAGGGUGGGGGUGGUAGAGGUGCUAGGUGUAACCACUGCUUAGGUGAAGACAACUCCUGUGCCCUUUCAGAGCCAGGGCAGGGUGCCUCGUGCCCAGGGUUGGGAGUUGGGAGGCAGUGGACUUGGGCCCAGACCCUAGAGGUGAGGAGGGUGAUGGUGAGGGGUGUAGGGAUGGCAACACUGGCAGAAUAGCCCCUGUCUACCCUCUGACCUUCCUCACCAAGCUGGUGGGUGAGAGGUCCGUCAGGGCCUCCAUAUUACAGCUGAAGCUAUGGAAGCCAGAGAGGUACCUGAGCAGUGACUUGACUUAAGGGCUCUGACCCCCACAUCAUAGCUAAACUGUGGUGGCCCCCAAAUGCUCCCCUGCCAUUUCCAGACUUCCACACUGGAAGGGGGAACGUGGCUCUGGUGCAGACAGUGUUGGGUGGGGAUUGCAGCUCCUCACGGGACUCCCUGCCGGACUUGGGCACCAAUUUCCCCUCAGGAGUGCCUGCUGCGCCUCCCCAGACCAGCUGCUGUGAGGAUAAUGGGGUUUGUGUUCAGCAAGUGGCCACCCCUGGCAGCACCCACAGCUCAUGGAAACCACUGGGAACUGAGAACUGUUUAGUGGAGUUGAGGCUGGUGUUUAGUGAAGUUCCAAUCACCAGGAGACUUUCGGGCCAGAGGAUCAGGGUUGAAGGGUUUUAGUGCGUGCUCAGCCAAAGGGCCUCAAUUCUGAGUCUGAGAAGAGGCCUCAGAGCCUGGUGCUUUGGGAAGCCAAGACUACCCCAGCUCCAGGAUCUGUCCUGUUCUCAGGUCCCACUGAGGCAGAGCCCAUGGACUUGAUGCCCAGCCCUGCCCGCUGUCUCUGGAACUCCUAUUUCC
rnacentral:lncRNA from 1 species